rnacentral:rRNA from 1 species
AUUGAACGCUGGCGGCAUGCCUUACACAUGCAAGUCGAACGGCAGCACGGGAGCAAUCCUGGUGGCGAGUGGCGAACGGGUGAGUAAUAUAUCGGAACGUGCCCGGUCGUGGGGGAUAACGUAGCGAAAGCUACGCUAAUACCGCAUACGAUCUACGGAUGAAAGCGGGGGAUCGCAAGACCUCGCGCGAUUGGAGCGGCCGAUAUCAGAUUAGGUAGUUGGUGAGGUAAAGGCUCACCAAGCCGACGAUCUGUAGCUGGUCUGAGAGGACGACCAGCCACACUGGGACUGAGACACGGCCCAGACUCCUACGGGAGGCAGCAGUGGGGAAUUUUGGACAAUGGGCGCGAAGACCGUGGAAUUCCAGCAAUGCCGCGUGCAGGAUGAAGGCCUUC